rnacentral:rRNA from 1 species
UCAACUUGAGAGUUUGAUCCUGGCUCAGAACGAACGCUGGCGGCAGGCCUAAUACAUGCAAGUCGAGCGCGCCCUUCGGGGUGAGCGGCGGACGGGUGAGUAACGCGUGGGAAUAUGCCCUUCUCUAAGGAAUAGCCUCUGGAAACGGAGAGUAAUACCUUAUACGCCCUUCGGGGGAAAGAUUUAUCGGAGAAGGAUUAGCCCGCGUUAGAUUAGGUAGUUGGUGGGGUAAUGGCCUACCAAGCCUACGAUCUAUAGCUGGUUUGAGAGGAUGAUCAGCCACACUGGGACUGAGACACGGCCCAGACUCCUACGGGAGGCAGCAGUAGGGAAUCUU